rnacentral:lncRNA from 13 species
CUCCCCGCCCCUCCUCUUUUUCUCUUUCUCUCUCUCUCUGGAAGUACUCAUGUUUGGAAUCCAACCACCCUGUGUGAAGAUCCCAGAACACAUGGAAAAGCCACAUACACCUAUGUGCGGCACUCCUCCAUCUCCGUGGGCCUCUAUUGAUGUCUGCCUUGCAGUGAAAGCGCUUUUUGUUGCGGCUGUUCGAUACACCCCAGCACAUCAACGCGGCAGCUGGGAGCAGGAGGAGGGAUCCCUUCGCUUUCUCCUCUCCUUUCACUCCGAACCCUAGGCAUCAGCACCAUCGCGCGUAGCCCGGCAAGUUUCCGCACGUGAACGGAUUUUCCGGGCUAAUCUCCAAAGACCUUGCCUUAUUUCACAAAGCUGAAGAGAGAUGAACGAGCAAUCACCCCCUCCCGGAGGUCGUGCAGCCCCGCGGGGACGCUCCUCCUCCAGCGGUGCAGCUGCCGCCUCCCGAGCUUGCUCGCCGUGCAGUUAGCUCCAGACUCGGCGGAGAGCAGGGGCCCCCUCCCCGCCUCCCUCUCGCAGCCCCUCUCCGCCAGUAGCAGCGCUGCUGUCUUCCCACAGGAGGACUUGGGAGGACGCUGGAGUCUGCAGCGCCCCCGCCCCCUCGCUUUUUCUUUCUUUCCUUGCUUUGGGAUCUUGCUGCUGGAGCCGGGAGAGGUUCUGAGAAGACAAGAGCGAGGGACUGAGCUCAGGCUUCC